AUCCCUAUACUUUGUCAUGUGAACCACUAAGCUUCCUUUCAUUAAUGUCCCUUUUUCCGAUUUACCAGUUUCUUCAGCUUUGAAGAGAACUAUACCCUGAAAGUGUGCUUCUGGGGGACUGAGGCACUGCUGGUUUUAUUGUCUUCUUCCAUGUCCUUAUUUUUUGUUUUUAAGUUUAGAGAAAGCAAGUUCUUAGGCACAACAAAGUUCUGCAAAGGCUAAGUACAGCUAUUCUGAGAAGAACAUCUUUUUGUAAGAUUUGGAAUAGCUACUUCUGAUAGACUCAGUGGAAGCAUGAUAGCAUUUGAAGACCCCGAGAACACAAUCCUAAUCAUGGGUGCUCAGUCCUGGUGGACACAUCUCCAACAUAGCGACAGCCCAGUGAACAUUGCAGAAGAUGGGAGGAUUACAUGAGUCUGAAGAUCAGGGAAUCUGUUAUCGAUUUGUGUCCCCUGGAAAUGACAGGAACGCUACGUCUGUGAUACCUCAAUAAUAUGGCUGCCUAAAUAAGACCCGAGCAAUGACAGUACCAAUAAACAUGCUAAUGU